rnacentral:rRNA from 1 species
UACGUAGGGGGCAAGCGUUGUCCGGAAUCAUUGGGCGUAAAGCGCGUGUAGGCGGCUCGAUAAGUCUGCUGUGAAAGUCCAGGCUCAACCCUGGGAUGCCGGUGGAUACUGUCGAGCUCGAGUCCGGAAGAGGCGAGUGGAAUUCCUGGUGUAGCGGUGAAAUGCGCAGAUAUCAGGAGGAACACCAAUGGCGAAGGCAGCUCGCUGGGACGUGACUGACGCUGAGACGCGAAAGCGUGGGAGCAAACAGG